GUUAUACACGCGUUAUCACGAGCCAAACAAUUGUUUUUUAAUAUAAAAGAAAUAAUGGGUUAAAAAAAUUUAAAUUCUAAGUCAUUAGUUAAAUUAACAAUUUAAAUAUUUAUAAAAAAAACACACAAUAGUAAAUAAUUAAAAAAAACAAUGAAAAGAAAUAAAGAAUCACAUCCGAGCUUAUCCGGAUUAUCAAACAACUCAAUACUAACCUAAUUGAAGGAAAAUCAAGAAAAAAAAGUCAAACUUAAAAAAAAAAAAACCAGCUUAAAAAAGAGGAAAAAAAACCAAGCAAACCUAAACAAACCUCC
rnacentral:lncRNA from 1 species